rnacentral:rRNA from 1 species
UACGUAGGGGGCAAGCGUUGUCCGGAUUUAUUGGGCGUAAAGAGCGUGUAGGCGGCUUUACAGGUCCGUUGUGAAAACUCGAGGCUCAACCUCGAGACGCCGGUGGAAACCGUAAAGCUAGAGUCCGGAAGAGGAGAGUGGAAUUCCUGGUGUAGCGGUGAAAUGCGCAGAUAUCAGGAGGAACACCGGUGGCGAAGGCGGGUCUCUGGGCCAUAACUGACGCUGAGGAGCGAAAGCGUGGGGAGCGAACAGG